UACGUAGGGUGCGAGCGUUAAUCGGAAUUACUGGGCGUAAAGCGUGCGCAGGCGGUGAGCUGUGUCCGAUGUGAAAGCCCCGGGCUUAACCUGGGAAUGGCAUUGGAAACUGGAUCGCUGGAGUGUGGCAGAGGGGGGUGGAAUUCCGCGUGUAGCAGUGAAAUGCGUAGAGAUGCGGAGGAACACCGAUGGCGAAGGCAGCCCCCUGGGCUAACACUGACGCUCAGGCACGAAAGCGUGGGGAGCAAACAGG
rnacentral:rRNA from 1 species